rnacentral:lncRNA from 1 species
UAAUGCAAAUUGUUUUAUGACAUAUUUCAUCCACUGCAGUGUAUAUAUUUUAUAAUUACAGAUGGACAGAGAGGACAAAAUUAUCAUCUCCGUGUUCGUGGAAGUUCAUUCCAAUUUUAAUUUUUUAUUUUCUUUUUCUUUUUCUAAUCGUCACAAUAGUUUCCUAAAAAGUUGACUUAUUUCCUUGGUCCAAGAGGGUUAGGUAUUCAAAAACGCCAAUCCUCUUCCUUGGAUCCAGUCCGGAGUUGGGCAUCGAUGGUGAAACUGUAGAAAUGCGUAGGUAUCUCGCUUUGCGAAUUUUCUCAAAUUCUUGGCUUCUAUUUUUCCUGUGAUUAUUCAGUGCUCCUUUGCAAAAUGAGUUACGAUAGAGUACUUUUACUACCAGUUUCUCACUCCAAAGAAGCAGGAGAAAACUUGAUGUAUUCACUUAUUUAAUUUUUAGUAUGUACGUAAAUUAUAUUUAAUGAAGGAGGCUUGUGGUACAAGUUUAGUGUUCCUAAUAUUUUCACCGAUAAUGCAAUUGUUUUAUGACAUAUUUCAUCCACUGCAGUGUAUAUAUUUUAUGAUUACAGAUGGACAGAGAGGACAAAAUUAUCAUCUCCGUGUUCGUAUGGACACGGUGGACAAAAUUCUCAUUUUCCUGUCAUUGUAAGUUGAUUCUAAUUUUAAUUUUCUUUUUCUUUUUCUAAUCGUCACAAUGGUUUCCUAAAAAGUCGUCUUAUUUCCUUGGUCCAAGAGGGUUAGGUAUUCAAAAACGCCAAUCCUCUUCCUUGGAUCCAGUCCGGAGUUAGGCAUCGAUGGUGAAACUGUAGAAAUGCGUAGGUAUCUCGCUUUGCGGCGUUGCAGACUUCCUGUCGUACUUUCUUUUUGCCUGGAAAUGGCCUCUUGAUGGGUUAAUUAUCCGAGUCAUCAUUAUUAAGUUGUAAGGCCGUGGACCAGUUAAACAAAAAUAUUCAUCUGACCCUUUUCCUAUCUCAUUGCAUAUAAUAUUUCAAUUCAUAUUUAUAUCUAUCUUAUUAUAAUUACCAUGUAUACAGGUUAUUCAAAAGUUACGCACCACUGGCCAUAACUUUUGUUCUAAUUAUGAUAUCGAUUUGCGGUUUGUGGCGUCCUUUCUCAUAUCGAGGGGGAAACUUUUUGAGGUACUUUUCAGUUCUUCACCCCCCCAGGGGGAGGGGGGGCGGGGGGCAACUUGAAAAUUUCAAAUGGCAACCCCCAUUGUGUGAUACAUCGUUUGAAAGAACAUAAAAA